CAUUGUAAACCUUAAAAUUUCUUAGACUUAUGAAUGUUGGAAAUUUCCCCUUUGGGAAAUUUCAUACUUGAAAAAAUUUCCUACUGAUAGUAAGAACUCUAUUGGAAUAUGAAACUCCUUGGCAUGGGAGGUUCCUUCUCCUCCCUACUUAAGACUACUUUAGGACAGAAACCUUUUGCUAAACAAUGGAAAGGGCUUUGACCUAUGCUUAAGCAUUGAACAGGAAGUUCUUUGAGUCAUGAUUGAUUUUAGAAUUGAUACAAUAGAGAUACUUGGAAUGACAGAACCAGGUCUUGGAAACUACAAUUUCCACCCUACUCAGAAUAACAGGAUUUAGGAAGGGCUGCAGCAAAGAUCAAGAUUUAAUUAUUUGAGAAUAUGACCUUCAACAGACAUGUGCAUAGUGGGGAGACCUCUGGGUGGUCCUGGGUUAAGCUAGAGCCACCAUUGGCACAGGGGAGACAUCGACAGUGAUUGGUAGAUGUGAGAACUGAGGGGAGGGAUCUUAGAUUGUUUGCUUAAAGAUAAUGGGGCCUGAGGACUAAAGAGGAUGCUCUGAAGGAGGUCUGAGAGGAGGGAGGUCCUGGAGGGAGAGCUCCUGGAGAGGUUUUGAAGGAGGCUGUGGAAGAUGAACUCAGGAGGAGUCAGGAGGAGAAUUCUCUGAAGACAUUUCUUGAAAGGAGGCUCUCUUGAAGGUGGAGCCUGAGGUUGGCAUGAGAAGGCCUUACCUAGAGACAUCUUGGAUGAGUGAUAAAACCAACUGACUGAUUUAUCUCUUAGGACUGAGGUCUAGGCCUUAUUGUCUUGAGGCCCUUCAUUCUCAUUCCUUUCUUACUUUCUCUCUUUUUCUAUUGAUUAAUCAGUGUAUUAUAAAUUAAAUUUCUCUAUAAAACCCAGUUGGCUUGGGCAUAUUCAUAAAUUGGGAAUAUAUUCCCUGGCGACCAUCUUAUAUUUAUAUAAACCUAAGACACAGUAGAAAACAUAUUUCAGCGGUCAUAAUUGUUAUAUAUUCCCUUGCUCCCAAACAUUUUAAUUAUCACAGUUUAUGGUGACCACUCUCUUAUCUACAACUAUUUAACGCUCAAAACUAUUUUAAAUCUAACACCUUAGAUACUUCCUAGCUACAUGACUCUGGGCAUGUCACUUAACCCCCAUUGUCUAGCUCUUACUACUUUUCUGCCUUGGAAUAAAUAACAACUAACUAAAUAAAUAAAAUCAAUGAUAAAAAUAAAAAAAAACAGUAUCAAUUCUAAGCUAUAAUAUUAAAGUUUUAAAAAAUUGAUAUGAAGUAUUAUUUUAAAGUUGUUUGGGGGGGAAUGUUGGAAGAUUUCAAUUGAGUCCUGGCUUGUUCUCUACCAUCUUGGUUAUAUCCUUCUCUAAUUUUCUUGACAGAUAUUCAUCCAACUUUUUUUUAAAGAUCUCUGAUAAAGAAGAACUGACUACCACCAUGGGGGUUCCAUUGUACAUUCUUAUGACUGUCAUAGUUGGGAAUUUUUUCCUAAUAUUAAGUCAAAAUUUGUCUCUUUAACAACUCAUGGUUGCUUCUAAUCCUUUCCUUCAUGGAAAAAUGCAAGACUUUGGUCAUCCUCACCUUCAAUAUACCAAGUACCUGACCUUGGAGGAAUCACCUAGGAACUCUCUGAAUGAUCACAGACUUCCUGAAAUCUCUAAGUACCUCUUUGGAGUCUGUGGACCCAGGUGUGGCACCUUCUAAUUCAGCUUAAAUUCUUACUUGCUGUUAAACAUAUUCUGAUAAGGAAAGGUAGCAUUGCCUGUGUGUCUGGAGCUCCACCAACAGGGUACGAAAGAAGGGUGAGAUUUUUAUAUGGCCAUUUUUCCAGAGGCUGAUCCAGGAGGCAGAAUGAGACAAGAAGAUAGAACAGAGGAUCCAAUUUCAUUAGUAUUCACAGUUUUGUCAAAAGAGAAUUGUGGAUCUCUCAAUUUUACUCUGAUCAGCAGGAUUUUUCAUAUGCCCUGAGAGAUAUGGCGAAGGAAAGAGGGACACAAAAUGCAAAAGAAUGCAUCCUUGCAAGCUUCAUAGGUCAAGUGAUAAGGUCAUCUUCUCUAUAUACCUCCCCUUGCCCCGACACAUUACUGAUGAGGAAAUUGGUACUAAGAGUUGGAGUGACUUGCCUAAUGCUUGCAACUAAUAAGUAGCAAAGAAGGAAAUUGAAUACAGUUUCCUUGACUCUAAACCCAACUUUGUUCAUCAUACUACCUUGUUAGAUUUGUGUUUGGUAAUAAAUAAUAUUGGAAAGACCCAAUGGGCUUGGAGUGAGAAGGCCUGUGUUCAAGUUGUGACUCUGAUACUUCCUAGCCUAUGUGACUAUGAGGAGUUGUUACCUGCCUGAGUCUGUUUACAUUGAUCUGUAAAAUUGGGGUGCUGGAUAUACCUCCAGACCCCUGAUUAAGCCAAGGGAAUAAGGCUUGGCCCCAGGGUGUUGAAGCUUAGUGAAGACUGAUACCUACCCAUAAUGAUAUCCCCAUCAUCCUCAAAAGGCACUAGUUUUCCAGUGAUAUCUUUCCAACAGUGGACUAGCCUUAAUAUUAAUGGUGUAUAAAGUGUUCUGUGGUAUGUGCUUUAUUUUCUUGGUAGCCAAAGCCUAGAUAAUUCCCUUCCUCCUAUUUCUACCAUACCAUGCUCCAAAUGCAACAGUUUCUGGUUACAUCUCUAUAGAUAACAAGGGUGUUCUAUAGAUUAAAUCAGAAAAUGCCUUUGAAUGUGUUCUGUAGAGAGCAAUAUACAUUUUAAGUAAUAUUAUUGGUAAGUUCCUAAAUUUCUUAGAAAGAACUUUAAUCCUAAAACUGAAAUUUUAAAAUGCUAACUCUCCAGAAAGCAAGUUUGCUACCAUGUAGUUCAAUAUAUCCAAUAUUUACUUAUUUUCUUCUUUGUUGUUGUUGUGUUUUUUUGCACUGAAUGUGAUGAUUUUAUUGAUGGUACACAAUAUAGGAUUCUAUGCCCCCUUCCUACAGGGGUGUUUUGGGGCAAGAAUGUGAAUGAGGCAUAGGAUUCCCAGUAUAGGGGAACAUGUUACAAAUGUGGGUUCCCCAGUGGUGGAAUUCCACUUUUUUGGCUGGAGAUGAAGAUUCAAGGCUUUCCACUUACUCCUUAGAGGCAAUUUAAGCCAUGAGGUCUACUGCAUGGUUGCUCUAACCAUACUUGUUGCCAUACCAAGAAAUGAGUUUGAAAAAAUGGUCAUUGGGGGCAGUAUCAUUGCCAGCAUCAAAAGUAGAAGACUAGCUGUUGCUAUUAAAAUUACAGAAUACAACCUGUUUUUUUUUGUUUGUUUGUUUGUUUUUUGUUUUUGUUUUUGGUAUAGCCCAAGACACCUUUCAAGGUUCCCUCUGAUGCUUGUUUUAACCACCUUCUUGAUAUCAUAUUUGGCAACUUUCUCCAAGAAGCAAAUUAGAUCCACAAUAUAUACACUGGGAGGAGGAACAUGAAAGACCCUGCCUGUGAGCUUCCCAUUCAGUUCAGGUAUGACCAUGCCUACAGCUUUAGCAGAGGAAGAAGGGAUGAUAUUUUGGAAAGUACCAUGCUCAUCACACCACAGCUUUCCAGAGGAGCCUUCCUUGUCUUCUUGGUAGCUGUAAUGGUGAGGACUGUGGUUAUGAGUCCUUCUGCAAUGCUGAUAUUGUCAUGGAUGACCUUGUCCAAGGGAGCCAAGCAGUUGGUUGUGCAGGAAGCAUUGCUGAUGAUCUUGAGGGAAUUAUUAUAUUUUUCAUGCUUCACUCCCAUCAUGAACACCUGGGCACCAGCAGAAAGGGCUACUUGGCUCUACCUUUUAAGGGAAGCUCAACCUUUUCCAUGGUAAUAAACAUGCCAGUGUACGCUACAAAAUACUCAGUUCUAAUAUGUUCCCAUUUAAUAUUGAUGGGAUCCCACUCUUGAAAGAUGGUAAUGGCUUUUCCAUUGAUUACCAGUUUUCCAUUCUCAGCCUUUACAGUGUCCUCGAACUUGUCCUGCAUGGACUCAUAUUGGAACAUAUAAGCCAUGUAGCUGAGGUCAAAGAAGGGGUCGUUGAUGGUCAUAACAUCUAUUCCACCAGUGCUGAAUAAUGACAUGGUCACCAGCAGUCCUAUAUGGCCACAUUUGUUGACUCUGACCUUCCCCAUCUUUUCUCAGGGAUGUGACUACAGCAGAGGUUCCUAGUGUUUUAAAACUUCAGGGGAAAUCUCUCUCUCCAAACAUUUGAAGACUUGAAAAUGUUGGAGUCAGGGUCACUUUCUGCCAUGGAAUCCUACCAUGAUCUGAGUACCUAUAAUAGCCACCUCAGCUUCAGGGGAUGCACUAGCAAGAUCCCUAGCCCUGCUGCCCAGGUAAAGCUCUGCCAUUCAAGAACUUUAUCCUUCCAGAGGAGGGAGAAGUAGAGUGGAAAAAUAAUGUAAAUAAAAUGGGCACCAUUGACUAUUGAAUGGGUGAAUAAAGCUGCAUUUUAGAAAUGUUAUAUAAUAUUAUUGAAUAGAUAGCCCAUCAAUUGAAGCAUGUCUAACAAGUUGCAACAUCUCACUCUAAAGGCAUAUUAUUUCACUGUAAAAAGCAUCAAAGGUGAGUUAGGAGAAACAAGGUAAAACUUGUAUGAAGUGUGAAUAGCAAGAAAAACACAAUAAUUAUUAAUGUCAGUUAAAACAACAUCAUAAAGGAACUGGUAACAUGAAAUACAGUGACUAUUAUCCAGGCAGACAAAUAAAGAGAUAUGUUUCCUCCAUAACAGGAAGGGAGGCACAGGUAUAUAAUACUGUAAAUGCUGUCAGAUGCAAUUGUGUGAUAACAGUUUUUGCUUAACUAUUUUUCUUCAUUGCAACAGAGACCUAUGGUGGUGACAAAAAGAAGAAGAAAAAAACAGAUACAUGAUUAACAGAUAAGAAGACAAAAUGUCAUAGACUGGCCUAAUACAAAUUCAUCUCCAUGAGAUAAAAAAGUAUAAACUACAAAUAACUGUAGAAGAGCCACUUGGCAUUUGGGAUAGGUAACAGCAAUUCUUCCCAAUGCCUGGAAAUUUAGAAAUUCCAGAGCAAUUAGGAAUACUGGAUGAGAAAGAGAUACCUGCCACUCUUUUAAUUGCCUCCCAGAUUCUUCUAGAUCCAGUUAUGGAAGUAAUGAAAAGAGAUAUUCUGUCUAAGUUUCUGUCCCCAAAGAAGAAAAAAUGCAAUUAUCAGGCCCCCAAAGUGCAGGUUUCUAAGGGGAAUGGUCUGCUCUCAGUGUCAGAUAGAAUUUUAAGUCACAUUUUGUCUUUUAUAUAUUCCUAUUGGUCCAGUAAUAAUAUUUUCUUUUAUAAAGCGAUGGCAUGCAAAAUAAUUUAAAAAUGUAUUUAACUUAAUGUUUAAUCACAGUCCAGAUUGACAUUUUAAAAAGUUUCUUUGAUGUUCCACUGGAAAAAUUUGUUAUCUGUUCUUAAUAAGAGAUUCCAAAGCUUUUGGGUGGCCCAAGACCACUUAAGUGAUUCAUAUGUAAUGAUGGGAUGAAAUGGUGUGCCUGAUAGAAUUUUUUAAUUAUAUAUUUACUAACAUUUAUAAACAUGCUUUGGGAUGUGUAUUUAUCUUUACCCUCUAUGAAAACCUCUGGUCAACUGGCAGUAGAGAAUAUCAAUUCUAUUUUUUCCUCUUAAAUUUCAUUUCAAAUCCUAAAUUCUCAGUUGGGAAAAGGGAAGGUUCCUGUUUACUGCAUCUAAUCAAAAAGGCUUAAAAUCACUUGGAAGCUGGGACCACCACAAUACCAUCAAAAAACCUAAAGCAUCAAGUAACACUUACCAGAAAGGGCAUUUUAGCGAGUGUAAAUGAACCAGCAACAUACAGGUUAUGUCACACUGAAUUAAAGACUUUACUGGAAAAACCUUUUUUUAGGAAAAGGAACUUUUUUGAUCUAGUUGAAUCCAUGUCUUGGGGGGGGGAAUGAUAAUUAUACAACUAGAAAGGCAUCUGAUGAAUCCACCCAACCUCUAAAUCCUCAAAAGUAACACAUCAUUCAGAUAAAUUCUGAAGCUCUAAGCAGAGUGCCUGGCAGAUAGUAAGUACUUAAUAAAUUAUUUCUAACUUGAUAUCCUAGCAUAUCUCAUCUUAUACUAAUGACAUUGAGAUUUGAAUAUUUUAUUGCAGAGCAUAGGUAGUAUCUGUUAAAUAAAUUACUUAUGAAGAAAUGAACAAAUGAGCCAGUGCCCACUAACUGUGAUGUGAAUGUCCAAACUAUGUCCUAGAGUCCCUUCUCUUUUUGUGCUAUACAAUCUGAUUUCCUUUUUACAUCAAUUCUAAUGGCUUCAAUUAUCAUCUCUAGGGAGAGUUUCCCCAAAUUAAUAUAUCCAGUCCUAGUUUUUGCUGAGCAAUAGUUAUGUAUCUUCAAUAGUUUCUUGCAUGUGGUAUCUCAGAAACAAAAAGUUGAAAACAGAACUUAUUCUUUUUGCCCCAAUUCUCCCCUUUCCGAACUUCUCUAAUUUGAGGGCACCACCAUAUCUACAAAGGGUAAGAUUCUCAGCAUUAUUCUCGACCAUUCAUGAUCAUUCAACCUACAUUUCAAAUCAAUUAAUCAAUUAUCAGACCUCUUUAUUUCUACCUAAAGAACAUGUCACCUUUAAAUUAGCUUCUCUCAAUUCAUAGAGCCACAAUCCUAAUGCUGGUCAGAUGUUCAUCACUUCUACUAAUCUUCCUGCCUUAACCCCUGCAUUCCAAUCCAUUCUCCACUCAGUUGGCAAGUUGUUUAUUUGUGUUUUAUAAGUAUAGUUCUGCCUGUGUCAUGCCCCUUAUUCAUUGAUUCACUAUGAUCUCCAGGAUCAAAAAUAAAAUCCUCUAUAAUUUAAAGAUCUUCAUCAUGUUUCCCUAAUGCUACCACAGUCCAGUCUGCCUUCAUUUUUCUCUACUUGAUAUUGGAUUAUCUACAAUUCUCUGAAUAUGACAAUCCAUUACCAGACUUUGUGCUUUUGCACUGGCUGCCCCACAUUCUAGAAAGAUUCUGCCCCCCCCCCCCACUACCUCCACCUUUUUUCUCUGCUUCUUUCAAGACUUAGCCUUAAUCUUGUCUUUUGUGGAUAGCCUGACCUUAUCUCAAAUGCCUUCCUUUUCAGAUUAAUUUGUUUUGUGUGUAUCUUGUAUAUAGUUAUUUAUAUUAUUUAUAUAUUGAUUCAUUAGAAUUCAUAUUCUCAGAGGACAGGGAGUUCUUUUAGAUUAUUUUUUGAUUGCUUUCUUUCUUUGUAUUUCUAUUGUUUGGAAUAUGGUACUUGCUAAGUGGUAAGCACUUAAUAAAUGUUUGUGGAAUGAAUGAAUAAAUGUAUAUUAUGGAUGUUAAUAUUAAAAGAUCAGAAUUACCAUUUAAUAAUUUUCCUAUUAUGGAAACAAAGAUGAUUACUCUUAAAGUGCUUUUAGAAAAAUAAGGUUAGACAUAAAAAGAAAUAAACUCUAUCCACAUACUCCAAGGUGUGAUAAAAAGAUUCCUAUCCAGGGAAAAAAUCUAUCAGCUAGAAAAAAAACCUCAUAGAAGGGGUUUUGAGAAAUACCCUCAUGCCCAGAAAGAAUUAAUUUGCCUUACACGAAUGAACAAUUUAUCCCCAAAAGCUAUUUUGUAAGUCCAAAUCACCGUGGCUUUUGUUAACUAUAAAUUCACUAAAAUAAAGACAUAAGAUUAGAAAA